rnacentral:lncRNA from 1 species
GGAGGGUGAAGAUACCAGCUGCUCUGAGAGCAUCAGUGUUUCUCUGUGGAAUAUGAUCAUUCUCUGGCUCUGUAUUUUAAAGGAAUGAGACUGACGUUAUGGGAGUUUCUUUUACUCUGAAUGCUGAAGAUCGCUCUCCUCCAGCUGUCGUCCUAAAUUAGCUGAGCUCUGUGAAAAGAGAGCCGUUUCAACUGACCCCUUCUGUUCCUUGAAGCUCCAGCCGUCCGUGACACCCAAAUGCUGCCUGUCUUUCAUCAAACUGGUCACUCCUGGAGAAAAAUGGACUUUGAGUGAAGGGCGGCCCUUUAUGUGGGCUGACUCCCUCUAGGACGACUCUGAAACUAGUUGAGACUCAAAUGGGUGACCUAUGACAAUGUAACCAAUAAGGGGACUUGAGUUCUCGAUUUCCCAAGCAGCUGCAAGCAGGAUAUGAGCUUGAGCCGUGGGUAUCGGCGAUAAAACAAACCUUUCAUCGC